rnacentral:lncRNA from 1 species
UAGAUCCUUUCUUCUUUGAUUCAUCCGUCUCUUUGAUUGGGCGGUCUCCACACACGGGGCACACCAUCCCUCUUGCAUUAGAAAAUGUUUUUGGUAUCCCACAUUGCACACACAUCCUUACCUCAAAAGAUCUGCAGCAUCCUCUGCAUUCGGAUUAGUUGCAGUCAUGACACGUUUUGCAGAUCCUACGGACUCGGUUGAAGUCGCAUUAGAGGCAUCACUGCUUACCCUAUCACGAAUUCCAACUAACUGAGCUUUAGCCUGCAAUACAGCC